GACGAACGCUGGCGGCGUGCUUAACACAUGCAAGUCGAACGGAAAGGCCCUGCUUUUGUGGGGUGCUCGAGUGGCGAACGGGUGAGUAACACGUGAGUAACCUGCCCUUGACUUUGGGAUAACUUCAGGAAACUGGGGCUAAUACCGGAUAGGAGCUCCUGCUGCAUGGUGGGGGUUGGAAAGUUUCGGCGGUUGGGGAUGGACUCGCGGCUUAUCAGCUUGUUGGUGGGGUAGUGGCUUACCAAGGCUUUGACGGGUAGCCGGCCUGAGAGGGUGACCGGCCACAAUGGGACUGCGAUACGGCGCAGACUCCUACGGGGGGCAGCAGUCGGAAAUCUUGCACAAUGGGCGGAAGCCUGAUGCAGCAACGCCGCGUGCGGGAUGACGGCCUUCGGGUUGUAAACCGCUUUCGCCUGUGACGAAGCGUGAGUGACGGUAAUGGGUAAAGAAGCACCGGCUAACUACGUG
rnacentral:rRNA from 1 species